rnacentral:lncRNA from 1 species
GGGGCCUUUUAGAAAAUCUCACACCACUUCCUAGUUGGAGCAAUUAAACAAUAGAGAAGAUGGGUAUUCUGGAGCAGAAUUUAAUGAAACAGAACUCCACCAUCUAUGGCAAGUUUGACUGCUUGAGUCUCCAGAGGAUAAUAGUUGGAGGCCACUGAGGCCCAAAUUCAUCAGUCCGGCCAUUGAAGGACACAAGUGAACAAAGGAGGACGGCAAAGACAGAACUGUGAUAUUCAAACACUCAAUAGCUCACAGUGUCGGGGUUCAUUAUGACACUUACUAAGCACAUGCCAUAUUUCUGACACUGUGCUAAGAGUUUCAUGAACAUUAACUAAAUUAACCCCAUAAAAACGCCAUUAGAAAGAUGCAGUUUUGUACCCCCUUACACAGAUGAAGAAAAUAAAGUAUAGAGACUUUAAGAAAUUUGCCAGAAGUCUUAUAACUGGGGUUAAGUAAAGGGCACUGAACAAGUGAAGCUGUGCUGAAAACAACAGUGGCCAAGGCAGAGAUAUUCUUAUACCUCAACCCGUUGUGCAGAUGGAAGUCUGGCCAAAAAACCAUAAAGCAUCAAGUCUGACUGUUGGUUUGCCAUGGCUCUUUGAAACAGUUACUCUUGUCCUCAUUGUAGAGAUGGCGAUACUAAGGCAGAAUAUGGUAAGGUUCUCUUGCUCAUCGGACCAAAGUUUGGAAUCACGUCUCAUCUUCGUGUAUUUUGAAAAUCUAACAAAUCUAGAAGAUGGUGUGAAUGUGCAUAUAUUUAGACAAUUUAAAAUUUUGUCAAGGACAUGAAAGAAAGACAUGUUUUCUAACAAAACAGAAAAAAACAAAAAUAAGAACAGAAUGCUUUUAACAUUGCUUAAAGAACUACAGAACUAUGGUGGCAAAGUGAGUAUGUCAUACAAGGUAGGCUAUGUAAAUCUAUGUGUGAUAAUUGUGUACUAUUCAUUGAUAGGGGAUGUACUUUCUACUUAACACAUGUUCUCCUCCUAGAUACCUUACCUAUAGGUACAGAAGUAUCUAUUAUAUUGGUUUAGGCUGAUUCUAAGGGAUAUUUCUCUUAAUGUAAGCUGAAGCAGAGAGAAACUCUAUUGGCAGAUGCAAGUGACUUUUUUAACACAAUGAGUUACUGAAGGAUGGAUUCUUAAGCUAUGGAAUAUUGCUGAAAUCAAAGCUGCUAUAAUGCAGUUAUACUUUCAUAAGUCUGAAUAGAAAAAAAAGUCACAUCAUGGAAAAGAGAACUCAAUCAAAUAUCGGACUUCCACACUAUUUAUGUGUACUAUGUGUACUAUGUGUUCUUAAUAAAUAUUCUCAUAAAUACCUGCAAAAUCUAGCCUGGACUUCUUUUUGUGGAGACUGGAUUCCAAGAUUGAAAGUAGAAGCUACAUGUUUUCUCCAAGCAGGGCUUUCAGACUUCACUUCUGCAACAUUUUAUUGAUGAAAGCAAGUCACAAGACCAGACUGAUUCAAGGGGUGGAGAAAUAGACCCUACUUCUUGAUGGAGGGAGGAGUAGAGUUACAUUGCAAAGGGAUCUGGACAAAAAAAGGAGUGAUUUAUUAGGAAUCAUGUUUAACAAUUUACCACAAUCCCCAGCGCAACUGCCUGUUAGCUGGAUCCAGAAAUGUCUACGACUACUGCAAUGCCACUUGGCCUUAGGGGUGAUGUGACCCAGUGUAAAGAGAUGGUGGUCUUAACCAAUCACAGUUAAGAUAGUUUAGUUUUGGAAGGUAUAAAAAAUAUGUAACAACAUGAAUGCACUUUUAGGGUCAGACAAGAGACUUGGAAAGAGCCUGCAAAAUGGAGGAGCCCUGAGGCCUAAGUCUCAUGAGUGUCAAUGCUUACCUGUAUCUAGACACUGGCAUCCCCCUUUUGAUAAGGCCAAGAUUGAUUGUUUUCCUUUUCUACCUACCCUAUAUCUAAUCCAUGUACAAACACUGUUGACACACAAAAGAACCCUAAAUUCAACAAUCUGUGAAGAAUUUUUGCACUAACAUGUUAGUUCAAAAACUCAACAUUGCUUGCUAAGACUAUUGCAAUAAACUCCUCUAUGAUCCCCUAAU